rnacentral:rRNA from 1 species
GGAAUAUUGGACAAUGGGGGCAACCCUGAUCCAGCCAUGCCGCGUGUGUGAAGAAGGCCUUCGGGUUGUAAAGCACUUUAAGUUGUGAGAAAGAGGUAAACGUUAAUAGCGUUUAUCAUUGAUGUUAGCAACAGAAUAAGCACCGGCUAACUCCGUGCCAGCAGCCGCGGUAAGACGGAGGGUGCAAGCGUUAAUCGGAAUUACUGGGCGUAAAGCGCGCGUAGGCGGUUUGGUCAGUUGGAUGUGAAAGCCCCGGGCUUAACCUGGGAACUGCAUUCAAUACUGCCAGGCUAGAGUACGGGAGAGGGGGGUAGAAUUUCUAGUGUAGCGGUGAAAUGCGUAGAUAUUAGAAGGAAUACCGGUGGCGAAGGCGGCCCCCUGGAUCGAUACUGACGCUGAGGUGCGAAAGCGUGGGGAGCA